CCCUUAGAUGUUCUGGGCCGCACGCGCGCUACACUGACUGGUGCAACAAGUGUCGCUCCUUGGCCGAUAGGCCUGGGCAAUCUUUGAACGCCAGUCGUGAUGGGGAUAGAUUCUUGCAAUUUUUGAUCUUCAACGAGGAAUGCCUAGUAAGCGCAAGUCAUCAGCUUGCGUUGAUUACGUCCCUGCCCUUUGUACACACCGCCCGUCGCUCCUACCGAUUGAAUGGUCCGGUGAAGCGUUCGGACCGUGGCCUUUGGACGGUUCGCCGUCUGUUGGCUGCGGGAAGUUCGUUAAACCUUAUCAUUUAGAGGAAGGAGAAGUCGUANCA
rnacentral:rRNA from 1 species